GAUGAACGCUGGCGGCGUGCCUAAUACAUGCAAGUCGAGCGAACGGACGAGAAGCUUGCUUCUCUGAUGUUAGCGGCGGACGGGUGAGUAACACGUGGAUAACCUACCUAUAAGACUGGGAUAACUUCGGGAAACCGGAGCUAAUACCGGAUAAUAUUUUGAACCGCAUGGUUCAAAAGUGAAAGACGGUCUUGCUGUCACUUAUAGAUGGAUCCGCGCUGCAUUAGCUAGUUGGUAAGGUAACGGCUUACCAAGGCAACGAUGCAUAGCCGACCUGAGAGGGUGAUCGGCCACACUGGAACUGAGACACGGUCCAGACUCCUACGGGAGGCAGCAGUAGGGAAUCUUCCGCAAUGGGCGAAAGCCUGACGGAGCAACGCCGCGUGAGUGAUGAAGGUCUUCGGAUCGUAAAACUCUGUUAUUAGGGAAGAACAUAUGUGUAAGUAACUGUGCACAUCUUGACGGUACCUAAUCAGAAAGCCACGGCUAACUACGUGCCAGCAGCCGCGGUAAUACGUAGGUGGCAAGCGUUAUCCGGAAUUAUUGGGCGUAAAGCGCGCGUAGGCGGUUUUUUAAGUCUGAUGUGAAAGCCCACGGCUCAACCGUGGAGGGUCAUUGGAAACUGGAAAACUUGAGUGCAGAAGAGGAAAGUGGAAUUCCAUGUGUAGCGGUGAAAUGCGCAGAGAUAUGGAGGAACACCAGUGGCGAAGGCGACUUUCUGGUCUGUAACUGACGCUGAUGUGCGAAAGCGUGGGGAUCAAACAGGAUUAGAUACCCUGGUAGUCCACGCCGUAAACGAUGAGUGCUAAGUGUUAGGGGGUUUCCGCCCCUUAGUGCUGCAGCUAACGCAUUAAGCACUCCGCCUGGGGAGUACGACCGCAAGGUUGAAACUCAAAGGAAUUGACGGGGACCCGCACAAGCGGUGGAGCAUGUGGUUUAAUUCGAAGCAACGCGAAGAACCUUACCAAAUCUUGACAUCCUUUGACAACUCUAGAGAUAGAGCUUUCCCCUUCGGGGGACAAAGUGACAGGUGGUGCAUGGUUGUCGUCAGCUCGUGUCGUGAGAUGUUGGGUUAAGUCCCGCAACGAGCGCAACCCUUAAGCUUAGUUGCCAUCAUUAAGUUGGGCACUCUGAGUUGACUGCCGGUGACAAACCGGAGGAAGGUGGGGAUGACGUCAAAUCAUCAUGCCCCUUAUGAUUUGGGCUACACACGUGCUACAAUGGACAAUACAAAGGGCAGCGAAACCGCGAGGUCAAGCAAAUCCCAUAAAGUUGUUCUCAGUUCGGAUUGUAGUCUGCAACUCGACUACAUGAAGCUGGAAUCGCUAGUAAUCGUAGAUCAGCAUGCUACGGUGAAUACGUUCCCGGGUCU
rnacentral:rRNA from 1 species